GACGAACGCUGGCGGCGUGCUUAACACAUGCAAGUCGAACGGAAAGGCCCUGCUUUUGUGGGGUGCUCGAGUGGCGAACGGGUGAGUAACACGUGAGUAACCUGCCCUUGACUUUGGGAUAACUUCAGGAAACUGGGGCUAAUACCGGAUAGGAGCUCCUGCUGCAUGGUGGGGGUUGGAAAGUUUCGGCGGUUGGGGAUGGACUCGCGGCUUAUCAGCUUGUUGGUGGGGUAGUGGCUUACCAAGGCUUUGACGGGUAGCCGGCCUGAGAGGGUGACCGGCCACAUUGGGACUGAGAUACGGCCCAGACUCCUACGGGAGGCAGCAGUGGGGAAUAUUGCACAAUGGGCGGAAGCCUGAUGCAGCAACGCCGCGUGCGGGAUGACGGCCUUCGGGUUGUAAACCGCUUUCGCCUGUGACGAAGCGUGAGUGACGGUAAUGGGUAAAGAAGCACCGGCUAACUACGUGCCAGCAGCCGCGGUGAUACGUAGGGUGCGAGCGUUGUCCGGAUUUAUUGGGCGUAAAGGGCUCGUAGGUGGUUGAUCGCGUCGGAAGUGUAAUCUCGGGGCUUAACCCUGAGCGUGCUUUCGAUACGGGUUGACUUGAGGAAGGUAGGGGAGAAUGGAAUCCCUGGUGGAGCGGUGGAAUGCGCAGAUAUCAGGAGGAACACCAGUGGCGAAGGCGGUUCUCUGGGCCUUUCCUGACGCUGAGGAGCGAAAGCGUGGGGAGCGAACAGGCUUAGAUACCCUGGUAGUCCACGCUGUAAACGGUGGGUACUAGGUGUGGGGUCCAUUCCACGGGUUCCGUGCCGUAGCUAACGCUUUAAGUACCCCGCCUGGGGAGUACGGCCGCAAGGCUAAAACUCAAAGGAAUUGACGGGGCCCCGCACAAGCGGCGGAGCAUGCGGAUUAAUUCGAUGCAACGCGUAGAACCCUACCUGGGUUUGACAUGGAUCGGGAGCGCUCAGAGAUGGGUGUGCCUCUUUUGGGGUCGGUUCACAGGUGGUGCAUGGCUGUCGUCAGCUCGUGUCGUGAGAUGUUGGGUUAAGUCCCGCAACGAGCGCAACCCUUGUUCACUGUUGCCAGCACGUUAUGGUGGGGACUCAGUGGAGACCGCCGGGGUCAACUCGGAGGAAGGUGGGGAUGACGUCAAGUCAUCAUGCCCCUUAUGUCCAGGGCUUCACGCAUGCUACAAUGGCUGGUACAGAGAGUGGCGAGCCUGUGAGGGUGAGCGAAUCUCGGAAAGCCGGUCUCAGUUCGGAUUGGGGUCUGCAACUCGACCUCAUGAAGUCGGAGUCGCUAGUAAUCGCAGAUCAGCAACGCUGCGGUGAAUACGUUCCCGGGGCU
rnacentral:rRNA from 1 species